UCGUUCCCUGUCUGCAAAAUCACACCUCUCGGACCUGCUGCCUCUCCAGAGAGAGAGCUGGGGAGAGGCCAUUUGUUAUUAUGUGUUUGUAAGUUGGGGGCUUUCCUUUAGGACAAGGCCCCCAGACAAUCUCAUAACACCAAUGGCGAGAUAAAGCAGGCAGAUUAUCUUAAAUAGUCUGGCAGAUGUUGGAGAGGCUCCAGCCACGAAGCGGUCAGGAGGUAUAAUGCAAGUGGCUUGUACAGCGCUGAAAAGACUCGCUGUCCUUUUGUGGAUCGCCCUUGAGAACAACCCAUGAUUUAUUUAUUGAGGAGCAGUGUCUGAGUCACCUUCUUCUCCACACUAUGAAAACACUGAGAAAGUGAGUCAUUUUUGAGGAACGGAGCCUACAGCAUCUCAGUUCUCACCCUGGAACAGGAGGUGGAGAGCCCAGCAGGAUGACACCGUGAAAGAUGCGAGACUGUUGGCUUCCGUGGUGAUGAGGUCCUUUCAGGAGCCCUGGACAAGCUCCCCUUUCACCAGUGGCAGAGAGAAAUGCUUUCCCCUGCCUGUGUGAAAUUUGCCUCUCCAUCCACCAAACCCACCUUUGAUGGUGAUGUUGUUCCUUGCUGCUUUCCAGUCCACCUGCAAUUAGAGAACUGCCUCCACCUGCUGGUAGGCUGUUCAUUGAAGUCUUCAGGCUUUCUGGCUACUGCUGCCUGGAGAUUGGAAGAGAGAGACAUUUAGGAAGGCUGGGACCCCAAAGUUAUCAUGAAGCUUUAAUCUCA
rnacentral:lncRNA from 1 species